AACCGUAGUGCGGGGUCUUUGGGCCAACCUCCCAUCCGUGUCUAUUGUACCCUGUUGCUUCGGCGGGCCCGCCGCUUGUCGGCCGCCGGGGGGGCGCCUCUGCCCCCCGGGCCCGUGCCCGCCGGAGACCCCAACACGAACACUGUCUGAAAGCGUGCAGUCUGAGUUGAUUGAAUGCAAUCAGUUAAAACUUUCAACAAUGGAUCUCUUGGUUCCGGCAUCGAUGAAGAACGCAGCGAAAUGCGAUAACUAAUGUGAAUUGCAGAAUUCAGUGAAUCAUCGAGUCUUUGAACGCACAUUGCGCCCCCUGGUAUUCCGGGGGGCAUGCCUGUCCGAGCGUCAUUGCUGCCCUCAAGCCCGGCUUGUGUGUUGGGUCGCCGUCCCCCUCUCCGGGGGGACGGGCCCGAAAGGCAGCGGCGGCACCGCGUCCGAUCCUCGAGCGUAUGGGGCUUUGUCACAUGCUCUGUAGGAUUGGCCGGCGCCUGCCGACGUUUUCCAACCAUUCUUUCCAGGUUGACCUCGGAUCAGGUAGGGAUACCCGCUGAACUUAAGCAUAUCAAUAGGCCGGAGGAA
rnacentral:rRNA from 1 species